rnacentral:rRNA from 1 species
ACGAACGCUGGCGGUAUGGAUUAGGCAUGCAAGUCGAACGGGAUCUGAGAUGUUCAAGUAGCAAUAUGAGAAUAUUUCAGUGAGAGUGGCGAAAGGGUGAGGAACACGUGAGUGACCUGCCCCUAAGUUUGGAAUAACCUUCCGAAAGGAGGGCUAAUGCCAGAUGUGAAUAGUUCCCUGAUGGGGGAUUAUUUAAAGAUUUAUCUCUUAGGGAUGGGCUCGCGUCCUAUCAGCUUGUUGGUGAGGUAAUGGCUUACCAAGGCUAUGACGGGUAGCUGGUCUGAGAGGAUGGUCAGCCACACUGGGACUGAGACACUGCCCAGACUCCUACGGGAGGCUGCAGUCGAGAAUCUUCCGCAAUGGGCGAAAGCCUGACGGAGCGAUACCGCGUGAAGGAUGAAGGUCUUCGGAUUGUAAACUUCUGUCACUGGGGACGAAUAAAUGACGGUACCCGGAGAGGAAGUCACGGCUAACUACGU